rnacentral:snoRNA from 1 species
AGUUAUGGCUUGAUAAGGGGGCAUCUGGUUAGUGGUGCCCAUCUCAUAGGAGCCAGGGACAUAGCAAUUCCUUGUUCAUUCUCAUGUGACUUUUGUUCUAUGCCCUUGUCUGGUUCAUGCCCCUGAAUACAGAA